CUGGGUUCUCUUCCAGCUCUGAGGAUCUGUGAGGGAUGUUGCCACUGAGUUGGGAAAAGCUCAACCCUAACUGUUGCAUGUGUUGGAAUCUCCUCUGUACUCCCAGUCUGGGCCCUGUGGGGACCCUGCCUACUCAGAAACAUGGAGACCAUCCCCUGGUAACCAGUUAGGAGGAGAGAGGAUGCUUUAUAAAGGAAUCAUCGAGUCCGUAGCCUUUGAGACACGCUUCUUCUAUUCCGUGAUGCCUUUGAGAUGCACCAUGUCAUUGCCUGUAUCAGUAGUUUGUUCCUUGUGUUGCUAAGUGGCAUUCCACUGCAUGGGCGCGCCGUGGUUCAUCUAUUCCCCUGAUGAAAGACAUGUGUACUGUUUCAAGGGCAAAUACCUAGGCGUGAGCUGUAUCCUAUGAACAUUGGCUCUCAGAUCUCUAAGAUCUCUCCCAGCUCUUAUGUUACACGUAACAGAGGGGGGCCUACUUCAUGCAUUCUGGAAAUUGAAAGCUAUGCCACAUCAGUUUUCUGGAAACAAGGGCUACCAGGAAAGAAGGGUCAGUUCGGGCCCCAUUUUCGCCACUGAACCCAAACUGACCUCUGCAUCUGUUUUGCUGAUUGUUGGAGACCGGGUUCUAGAGCUCCCCAUCACUGAUAGAAGAAUCACUCCUGAAAGGUGAAAGGUCCGGGGCCAGGGCUUCCGAAAGGCCUGAACAACAGAGGAAGGGAGGCUCUGUGUUCCUCUCCCACCUGCACAGAUCAGUCAGUCACUCUGUUCUACAGGGACUCUCUGUAACUCAUGAGAGGGACUCUGGAGGGAGACCCCUCUGUAACUCUCUGUAACUCUUUGAGGGACUCUGAAAACUCAUGUAUGAAACUGCAGAAGUCUGCUUCUAGACUUUGCCUUGGCCAUGUGAGGUAAAGGGCCCUUCAACCCCUGCCCCCUACCUUGUAAAUGUGCAAAUGGACUCACAUUUGAACCUCAACAGGUUCCUGAAAAUCGAAUAAUAAAAUAGAUUGCUGUAAAGCAGCCCAUAUUUUCCCAUAGCCACAGGGUUGUAAUUGGUGAUUACUAGCCUGAUCAGUGGUAACUCGACAGCAAAUUUAUCACUGAUGUGACCAACAAUGUCAUAAAGUGAAUACUGUGUGUCUCUAUAACCACUGAAAAUACUCAAGUUAUGCUCCAGGUCCUAUAAAAUGGGCGUAAAUACACUGAACACUUCACUGAGGGAAGGGAACCAAUGACCUAUAUGCAAUAUAUGGGCAGCUAUAAAAAAUACAACCAGGCCAUAAAUUUGAAUGAAAACCAAUAUUCUAGCCUUAAUGGACAUGAAUUAAACAUUUAAUUAACACCAGUUUGCCCUACUUGCUUAGAAUUCCAAAUGAAUUUGGAAUGGAUCAUUUGGGCAGGUUGGGUGUCUUUUAAGAAUGGCCCAGGGAAGCUUAAGUUGUUACCUUUGUCCCUCAAUAAAUGAAGAUCCCGAGGGGAGCAGUGCCACCAGCUCACGGCAUGGAGCGGUGAAAAAGGAUGGUGUUCACCCCGCUGAACCACACGUUCUGAAGGCGGGGCUGCCCCACAGAGCACACACCAGCUUCUCCUGCCUCAGCUUAGAUGCAGCUGAAGGGGAAGUCGCCCUGCCCAGGUAGCCAGCAGGGCUGGUGGCCUGCUGUCUGGCUGCUAAGCCCAGGGAGGGAGGCAGUUUUGUGGAUUCACAGGAGUGCUCCGAGGACCCACCGUUGUCAGGAUCCCGGAAAGCUGGCUGAAAUGCAGAUCCCUCACUCUGACAUCCUGCGUCAGUACGGCUGAGAAUUCUGCAUUUAAGCGACCCCUUGAUGCUCAUUCUGGUGCACACUGGGGCUUGAGACUCCCUGCAAUGGGAGGUAUUCUCAUCUCAGCCCCCUCCUGGUCAUGCAUAGUCAGCCACCACUGUUCCCUCAACUACACAACAAAAUUGAGUAUCGUGGCCUCCUCAAACCCAUUUCAUAACUAUGCAGGCAUUCCUCGUAUGUGCAGACUGGUUCUGGGCCCCCCAUGGAUACCAAAAUCCACAGGUGCUCAAGCCCCUAAUGUAAAAUAGUAUAGUAUUUUCAUAUAACCUAUGCACAUCCUCCCAUUUACUUUAAAUCAUGGGUGUCCAAUCUUUUGGUUUCUCUGGGCCACAUUGGAAGAAUUGCCUUGGGCCACACAUAAAAUACACUAACACUAAUGAUAGCUGAUGAGCUGAAAGAAAAAAAAUCUGCAAAAGAUUCUCAUAAUGUUUUAAGAAAGCGUAUGAAUUUAUGUUGGGCCACAUUCAAAGCUGUCCUGGGCCACAUGAAGCCUGUGGGCCGCGGGUGGGACAAGCUUAUUUUAAAUCAUCUCUAAAUUACUUAUAAUUCCUAAUGCAAAGUAAAUGCUAUGUAAAUAGUUGUCAUACUGUAUUUUUAUAUAUAUUAUUUCUUAUUGUAUUAUUUUUUAUCAUUUUUUCCCAAAUAUUUUUGAUCUGCCCUUGUUUGAAUCUGAGGAUACAGAACCCGCAGACACAGAAAGCUGACUAUAUUUCUAAUUUUUAAAAGUCUUAAUUAUACAGGUAAUAAAGGAAUGCAUAUUAGUUGUUUUAAAAGAAAAGCAGAACACACAGCAAAACUUAAACACACAAAGUGAAUGUCCUCCUUUCCCAUCUCACUUCCUUCCUUGGAGGAAACCCCUGUCAAUCGUUGGUUGCACAUCUUUCCAUACUUUUUAAAAAUGCAAUUGCAGGCCGGGCGCGGUGGCUCACGCCUGUAAUCCCAGCACUUUGGGAGGCUGAGGUGGGCAGAUCAUCUGAGGUCAGGCGUUCGAGAUCAGCCUGGGCAACAUGGCAAAAUCCCAUCUCUACUAAAAUUACAAAAAUCAGCCGGGCGUGGGGGUGGGAGUCUGUAAUCCCAGCUACUCGGGAGGCUAAGGCAAGAGAAUCAUUUGAACCUGGGAGGUGGAAGUUGCAGUGAGCCGAGAUCGUGCUACUGCACUCCAGCCUGGGCAACAAAAGCAAAAACUCCGUCUCAAAAACAAACAAACAAACACAUUUGCAUACUCAUAAUUUGAGCUUCUCCUUCUUUACACAAAUGGCAUCCUUCUACUCACAUUGGUGAGGAACUUGCUUUUUUCACUUUAUGUCUGGAAACCAUUCCAUGUCUUUCUUAUACUUUUUUCUAUUUAUUUUUUAUUUUUAACUUUUAUUUUAGGUUCAAGAGUACAUGUGCCUGUUUGUUAUAUAGGUAAAUUGCAUGUCAUGGGGGUUUGGUGUACAGAUUACUUGGCUACUCAGGUAAUAAGCAUAGAACCCACAGGUAGUUUUUCAAUCCUCACCCUCCUCCUUCCACCCUCAAGUUGGCCCCAGUGUUUGUCGUUCCCUUCUUUGUGUCCAUAGGCACUUGAUGUUUAGCUCCCACUUAUAAGUGAGAACAUGCAGUAUUUAGUUUUCUGUUCCAGUGAUAGUUCACUUAGGAUAAUGUCUUCCAGCUCCAUCCAUGUUGAUGCAAAGGACAUGAUCUCGUUCUUUUUCACGUCCAUGUAGAUUCCAUAUAUGUACCACAUUUUCUUUAUCCAGUCUACCACUUAUGGGCAUUUAGGUUGAUUCUGUGACUUUGCUAUUGUGAGUAGUGCUUUGGUGAACAUACACGUGCAUGUGUCUUUAUAGCAGAACAAUUUAUAUUCCUUUGGGUAUACACCCAAUAAUGGGAUUGCUUUUCUCAUCCUUUUUCUCUGUUGCUCCAUGUUCCAUACCAGGGUUAUACCAUGGGUUAUUUGAUCACUCCUUUACUGAGGUAAGUCUAAAUUUCCUUUUUUCCUGGUAAUGAACCAUGUUUCUUUGCCCAGGUCCUUGGGUUCAUUCAGAAUUUAUCAAGCACUUCCCAGGCCCAGGCAUAGGACUAGGUGCUGAGAGGAGGCAGACAGCACUGGGAUUGAUCACGGGAGGGCAGGCAGCUCUGUUCACCACCCAUACUUCAAUAAAAGCCUUUAAACCAUUACCAGGCCAUUCGCUCAAACAUGACCACCUCUACGAACUUGCCUACACCUCAGUGGAG
rnacentral:lncRNA from 10 species